rnacentral:rRNA from 1 species
UACGUAGGUGGCAAGCGUUGUCCGGAAUUAUUGGGCGUAAAGCGCUCGCAGGCGGUUCCUUAAGUCUGAUGUGAAAUCUUGCAGCUUAACUGCAAGCGGUCAUUGGAAACUGGGGGACUUGAGUACAGAAGAGGAGAGCGGAAUUCCACGUGUAGCGGUGAAAUGCGUAGAGAUGUGGAGGAACACCAGUGGCGAAGGCGGGACUCUGGGCUGUAACUGACACUGAGGAGCGAAAGCAUGGGGAGCGAACAGG